CCAUCCCAGUUCGGAUUGCAGGCUGNAACCCGCCUGUAUGAAGUUGGAAUCGCUAGUAAUCGCGGAUCAGCAUGCCGCGGUGAAUACGUUCCCGGGCCUUGUACACACCGCCCGUCACACCAUGAGAGUCGGGAACACCCGAAGUCCGUAGCCUAACCGCAAGGGGGCGCGGCCGAAGGUGGGUUCGAUAAUUGGGGUGAAGUCGUAACAAGGUAGC
rnacentral:rRNA from 1 species